rnacentral:rRNA from 1 species
CCUACGGGUGGCAGCAGUGAGGAAUAUUGGUCAAUGGACGAGAGUCUGAACCAGCCAAGUAGCGUGAAGGAUGACUGCCCUAUGGGUUGUAAACUUCUUUUAUAAAGGAAUAAAACGAGGCACGUGUGCCUUUUUGCAUGUACUUUAUGAAUAAGGCUCGGCUAACUCCGUGCCAGCAGCCGCGGUAAUACGGAGGAACCGAGCGUUAUUCGGAUUUAUUGGGAUUAAAGGGCGCGUAGAUGGGUGGUUAAGUCAGUGGUGUAAGUUUGCGGGGCAAAAGUAAAAUUGCAAGUGAUACUGGCAGUCUUGAGUACAGUUGAGGUAGGCGGAAUGCGUGGUGUAGCGGUGAAAUGCUUAGAUAUCACGAAGGACCCCGAUUGCGAAGGCAGCUUACUAAACUGUGACUGACAUUGAUGCUCGAAAGGGUGGGUAUCAAACAGGAAUAGAUACCCCUGUAGUC